GACGAACCGUGCGAACGUUGUUCGGAAUCACUGGGCUUAAAGGGCGCGUAGGCGGCCUGUUAAGUCGAACGUGAAAUCCCCGGGCUCAACCCGGGAACUGCGUCCGAUACUGGCAGGCUUGAAUUCGGGAGAGGGAUGUGGAAUUCCAGGUGUAGCGGUGAAAUGCGUAGAUAUCUGGAGGAACACCGGUGGCGAAGGCGGCAUCCUGGACCGAGAUUGACGCUGAUGCGCGAAAGCCAGGGGAGCAAACGGG
rnacentral:rRNA from 1 species